rnacentral:rRNA from 1 species
AAUUUAAAGUCUAAUCUGCCCACUGAUUAAUUAAUUAAAGGGCUGCAGUAUAUUGACUGUACAAAGGUAGCAUAAUCAUUAGUCUCUUAAUUGGAGACUUGUAUGAAAGAUUUGAUGAAAUAUAGACUGUCUCUAGUUUAUUAAUAAAAAUUAAUUUUUUAGUUAAAAAGCUAAAAUUUAAUUAAAAGACGAGAAGACCCUAUAGAGUUUUAUAUUUAUUUAUUAAUUAUAUAUAUAUAUAUAUAUAUAAAUUUAUCUAAUUAAUAAAAAAUAUUGUAUUGGGGUGAUAAAAAAAUUAAUUAAACUUUUUUUAAAAUUUAAAUAUAAAUAAGUAAAAAAUUGAUCCAUUAAUAAUGAUUAAAAGAAAAAAUUACCUUAGGGAUAACAGCGUAAUAUUUUUUUUUUAGAACAAAUAAAAAAAAAAGUUUGCGACCUCGAUGUUGGAUUAAGAUAAAAUUUAAAUGCAAAAGUUUAAAAUUUUGAUCUGUUCGAUCAUUAAAAUCUUACAUG